GGGCAGACACACUGAAGUCGCUAGACAUUUGAGGAACACAUCCGGGGAAGAAGACACAGGUGGCUGGUCAUGGAGAGCCCGCUGGGGGAAGAGCACACAGACAGGCACCGGCAGGCCAUUGACCAGCGGGACAAGGUGGGCUCAAUGUCAUCACAAGGGUGCUUAAGAGGGAAAGAGGAAGCCAUGAGGGUCAGAGUCAAAGGAAGACUUGAAGAUACUACACUGCGGACUUUAAAGAUGAAGGAAGGGGCGAAAACCAAGAAUGUGGGAAGCCUCUAGAAGCUAGAGAAGGCAAGGAAACAAAUUUUCCACUAGAGCCUCCAGAAGGAACACAGCCCUGCUGACCCACUGUAAUGUCUGACCUCUAGAUGUGUAAGGGUAGUAAGACUGAAAGUCUCAGAAAGGCACUGUUAAAUUCUUAUUCCUCAACUAUGCAACUCAAAACUGGGGUCCUCAGCAGUGAGCGAGGGGUGAGAGAAGACACUGUAUAAACAUGGCACAUCCUCCUGGAAAGUCAACUUUACUCAAAGGUAAAUAAUUUAACAUAUUUUUCUUUUUAAAACACACAUGGAUGUAUUAUGAAGGAGAAUGCAAAUUUUGCAUGAAUUUUUAAGAAUAGGUGUGGAUUAUUCAACCACUUUCUUAUUGCAGCUUUAGAAACCCAGCUCAAACUAGCUGAAGCAGAAAAGACAUUACUGCGCCUAUAAGUUGAAACUUUGGAGGGAUAAAUUUCAGAGGUGUGGCUAGAUCCAACGGCUCUCUGGAAAACUCUGUGAAAAAAAUGCUUCCUCAAGUCCAGAAACCAGAAGCUCAGGAAAUUGUUGCUUGGUUCCUCUUGUUAGAGGCAGAGAUUAUUCAACGACCUACAGGGUAGCGUUUGAACAUUGUUACCAGGAAUCUUUACUUUGCCAUCUUCCAAGUCUGUUCUCCUCAGUAUUGGUUUCAUUUACAAGCAGGCCAUCUCUGCCCUCAUGGCAAUGAUGGUCUUUACUCCAGGCUUAAGACCCUUACUAUCUACUAUUUCCAAAGCGGAGAGAGAACUUCCCACACCUAGUGACCUGUGACACAGGAUUUUAUCCUUCGUACAGAGGGAAUUCAGUUGGCUAACAUAAUCUGCCUUCCAAUGGAGUAAGAAUGUCUGGACUCUUUCCUUCACCUACCCCCAAGACAUGGAGGCGUCUAAAAGAUAAAUAAAACUUGGCAACUGACCGAAGGAGGAAGAGGGGAUUUCAGGCAAAAUCAACGCUGUUCACUACGAGGAGACUUCAGAAAGGUUGCCUGCUUCUGGGGAGCAUAGUCCCUGAUUCCUCAAGACAUACGUUUAUUCUUUUCUUCAAUGUCUUUGCCUGCAGUCAAAACAAAACCAUUACCUUUAGCCAAGUUCACACAUUUCAGCCAAAUCCAUAUGCAUCGGAUCAGUUCUGUAGGUUAUGGGUGAGCAUGAACAUAUAAAAGAGGCACCUGCCUGUGCCUAUCUACUCCAUGGAAUUUCAAAAGGGGCCACUUAUGGAGAAUGUCUUUAGGGACAGAACCAACCACCCUGUCUUUCCUCCAACUCUCAAAGUAACUUCUGGCUUUAAUCCUCAAGUGUCUAUGCUGGAGUUUAAGAAAAAUGUUUUUCAUAGAAUUCAUGUGUAUGAUAUUG
ensembl:lncRNA SAMMSON survival associated mitochondrial melanoma specific oncogenic non-coding RNA